rnacentral:rRNA from 1 species
CAGCCGCCGCGGUAAUACGUAGGGUGCGAGCGUUAAUCGGAAUUACUGGGCGUAAAGCGUGCGCAGGCGGUUAUAUAAGACAGAUGUGAAAUCCCCGGGCUCAACCUGGGACCUGCAUUUGUGACUGGCGAGCUAGAGUAUGGCAGAGGGGGGUAGAAUUCCACGUGUAGCAGUGAAAUGCGUAGAGAUGUGGAGGAAUACCGAUGGCGAAGGCAGCCCCCUGGGCCAAUACUGACGCUCAUGCACGAAAGCGUGGGGAGCAAACAGGAUUAGAUACCCCCGUAGUCCCUGUCUCUUAUAC